CCUAUAUUCUACUUAUUUAGAAGCGGGAGUUUAGCAGCUCUUCGUCGUCCUCAGAGGGGUACUUUGCAAAAACAAGGGCAACAUUAGACAUGGAAAGGCGGCACUACAAUGGACCCACCACAUUGACGACGAAGGCUCUCCGCCGUUUCGCUCUUCUUCAACCUGAAGCUUUCCCUGUCUGAUGAAUCUAAUUUGUGUCCCUUACCUCCCUGGAUAUACUCUCUUCCUUAUUAGGUUUGGAAUUGAAAUUAGGAACUUUUUUAGGCUGCAUAUUAAAUUCUUUUCUUAAAUUUUUUAUGCUAUUUUUCAUGUUUGUUGAUUAUAAUCUAAAAAAAAAAACAUAUCCAGUUUUAUAGGACUGACAACGGCUACAUCCAAUUGAAGGAUUUAGAUUUAUUCUUGUUCUCGCUAUAGGAACUUAGAGUGUAGUCAGUCACAGAAUUUUAUUCUUAAUGAUAUCUGCCAUUAAAAAAGCACAUGGAGUAACGAGAGCAGCAUAUACUAAUAUCACUCAAUUUGCAGUUUGCAGUGGAAGUGUGGAAGCCAGAAAAUUAUUUAUCAACUCUCAUAUAUAUAUUUGAAGUAUCAUUUGUAUUAGGAUUCUCUCCAUUAUUUUCAGCUUUUAUUUUGGCUGGAGCUUGGACAAGUUGUUUGGAGUUGAUUAUUAGAAUAUCUAAAAUUUAAAAAGAAAAAAAUUAAUGCUUCAUAAUCUCUAUUUAGCAUUUACUGCAAUUAUUUUUCUGUUUCUUUUAGGUUUUGGGAUAGAAAGAAUUAGAAUGCAUUUUUAUUUCAAUUUUAAAGUUUGAAAUUUUGUGUUGAUCUGAGAAAAUCUUUAUGAUAAUUUCCUUUAUAUAUGAGAAGCCCUCUAAUCUGUUGUGAAUGUAACCAUAGUUAAUGGCGGUGUAACUUUUUUUUCCUCCGAUUCUUGUGAAUGAGAUGAAAAAUUUAAGGAGUGGUUAGAGAAUGCAUAGAAGAUGCUUGAUACAUGUAUCUUUCAAAGUUCAUUUUUUUAAAUGCAAAGGAAAAGAGAAAGAACUCCUAAAAGAAAUAAUCCAAAGGUGAUUGUUGUAUUUUGGCUGCAGCUUUGGCUAUGUAUUGGAGUAAUUACAUACUUUGUUGUGGUUAUGACUUUGGAAGCUACUGCUAAAAGUGAUGAUAAUAUGUACAACAGGAAGGCAAGAUGAAGAAAAAGCCAAGCAAUACUUUAUACGUUUGAAGAAACUAACAACAUAGCUAAGUAAUGGUAGUUCUACUUAACAACAUCAAUUAGCAACACAGUAUUGUGACAGAAAGUUUUCACUUCUCUGGAAUUUGCUCUUGGUAAAUUGCAGGUAAGUUAGAUUUGUUGUCACAUUAUUACGCAAGUUACUCCUUGGUCGAAAAAUAGAGGCUUCCCGAGUCCCUGAAAAUUACUCCUUGGUCGAAAAAUAAAAAUACACCAUGAUAUAUCACAUGUAAUGAAGUUGAGAUUGCUUUGUGCAAUAUUUAUGCAUCUUGAACUACUUAUCUUGGAUGAUUCGUUAUUAUGUCAUUCAUAUGCUUGGUUGAAACAGAGCAGGAGGUAGCACUUGAGGGCUUUGCCGGAGUAGUUCGUAUGGAACCUGAGAAGGCUGAGUGUGUGGCCGCGAUUAUGAUCUUAGAGGUACUUCCAUAGAUACUCUAACUGUCCUCGGUAAUCUGGAACUCUACCUUUUCGAUUUUGCUGGAGAAAGAGCGCAGGCCUCAGUUAGAGUAAAUGGAGAUCACAAGCAUCAGACUUAAGAGGUGGAAAGAGACUGUUGAAGAAGAAUAAGAGGACUGUACGUCCAGCUUUCAAAAGCAAGGACACGAGGGGAAUCAGGAUUUGCCGAUAAUUCAGCGAAAUGUCCAGUUUUUGUGGCUUAACAUGCAAUCAUAUACUAUAUCUCAGAAGGCAUAUCUCAAGGUUAACUUUCCAAUACUUAUUACCCAUGAAUGUGAACGUGGAAAAUUGCGGGGUGGUUAAUGAAAAAAACCUUUCUUGCUUUAGAUCAUUUUGAAUGACAGACACACAAGGUUAUCAUAACUUAAAACCCACUCCUUAGGAAUGGAAAUUCUGGUUUGUCCGUAAUUAUGAAAUCUUAUUCAUUUGUCUAAACAAUAAGUUGCCUUUGUUUUGUUGUCCCAUAUUGUGACUUCUUAUGUGAGUGAUCUUUUAUGAUAUGCUGAUAGAGUGGAAGAAAUUAUGGUGAAGAAAUGAAAUGGUAUACCUUAAUUACCUUAAAAUGUCUAUUUUGUUCCCAAGCGAGUUGCAAUAUAGGACACCCAUAUUUUAUUUCUUCUGUUUUUAUGUCAAAACUGAAAAGUCAGCGAGUAUAUGUUCCACGUUAGUACAUGCUACCAAGAUCGAAGUUUAGAUUGCAUUGAAGUCAGCUAAUAUAUUAAGAAAAGUAUCUAGCAACAACAUUAGCCUUGUGAUACCUCAGGGACGGAAAAGCUUAAUAUUUUUCGUUUUCAGCAAAAAUCAGCUAUGUCCAGGUGUGCUAUAACAAGGGAUUUGAAAGUUCUAAUAGGUGUACAGUCUCUAACAUUCACUCUGUCAUGUUUUAGGCUAAUAAUCACAGUGAAUGAUGUUGAUUUCUUAUUGUAUCUAGAUGUCAGAAAUCAUCCAGUUCUUAUAUGCUACAAGUGCAGUAUUGUUUCUUUUUA